UGAAUACGAGACGCUAAGGCGUCGAAGUAGUGUAUGUCAUACUUCCAAGAAAAGCUUGCACUGUCAUAGAUAAAAAACGCCUGUACCAUAACCGACACAGGUGGGUAGGUAGAGUAUACUAAGGGGCGCGAGAUAACUCUCUCUAAGGAACUCGGCAAAAUAACUCCGUAACUUUGGGAGAAGGAGUGCCUUAUUCGUAAGGUUGCAAUAACAAGAUCCAAGCAACUGUUUAUCAAAAACACAGGUCUCCGCUAAGUCGUAAGACGAUGUAUGGGGGCUGACGCCUGCCCAGUGCCAGAAGGUUAAAGAAGUUGGUUAGCAAUUGCGAAGCUGAUAACUGAAGCCCUGGUGAACGGCGGCCGUAACAAUAACGGUCCUAAGGUAGCGAAAUUCCUUGUCGGGUAAGUUCCGACCCGCACGAAAGGCGUAAUGAUUUGGAUACUGUCUCGGAGAGGGGCUCGGUGAAAUAGACUUGUCUGUGAAGAUGCGGACUACCUGCACCAGGACAGAAAGACCCUAUGAAGCUUUACUGUAACUUGAAAUUGAAAUUGGACUUUAUUCGCGCAGUAUAGGUGGGAGGCGUUGAUUAUAAUCUUGUGGGAUUAUUGGAGCCAUCAGUGAGAUACCACUCUUGUAAUGUUAGAUUUCUAACUUUGAAUCAUUAUCUGGUCAAAGAACAGUUUCAGGCGGGCAGUUUGACUGGGGCGGUCGCCUCCUAAACGGUAACGGAGGCGUACAAAGGUUUCCUCUGAACGGUUAGAAAUCGUAUCUAGAGUGUAAAGGCAUAAGGAAGCUUGACUGUGAGACCUACAAGUCGAGCAGGGACGAAAGUCGGUCUUAGUGAUCUGACGGUACUGAGUGGAAAGGCCGUCACUCAACGGAUAAAAGUUACUCUAAGGAUAACAGGCUGAUCUCCCCCAAGAGUUCACAUCGACGGGGAGGUUUGGCACCUCGAUGUCGGCUCAUCGCAUCCUGGGGCGGUAGUACGUCCCAAGGGUUGGGCUGUUCGCCCAUGAAAGCGGUACGCGAGCUGGGUUCAGAACGUCGUGAGACAGUUCGGUCCAUAUCCGGUGUAGGCGUUAGAAUAUUGAGAGGAGCCUUCUUUAGUACGAGAGGACCGAGAAGGACAUACCUCUGGUGUACCAGUUAUCGUGCCAACGGUAAACGCUGGGUAGCUAUGUAUGGAGUGGAUAACCGCUGAAAGCAUCUAAGUGGGAAGCCCACCUCAAGAUAAGUAUUCUCACC
rnacentral:rRNA from 1 species